AAUUAUAGGCGGUUCGUCUGUGGAUCUCGUCAACAUAUCGUCGCAAACAGGAAAUCCCCAACCAUAAUGGGCUUGGAUCUGUGAGGGAAUUCGGAGUGGCCACCCGUUCUGAAAGUUUGAUUUUCUUUUGGUGAACUGGACAUCCUUUUAAUUACGUUUGAGGUUUUGGGCUUUUAAAUGUAAUAAGGCCGCUUAAUUAUUUUUAAUGGUUUUAAUAUGUAUUACUAAGAUAGGUAUUACUUAUUUUAACUGUUGAAAUUGGAUAGCUUAGGGCGCGUUUUCAAAAAUAACAA